rnacentral:rRNA from 1 species
AAACUUUCAACAACGGAUCUCUAGGCUCUUGCAUCGAUGAAGAACGCAGUGAAAUGCGAUAAGUAAUGUGAAUUGCAGAAUCUCGUGAAUCAUCGAAUCUUUGAACGCACAUUGCGCCCUAUGGCAUUCCACAGGGCAUGCCUGUCUGAGCGUCAGC